rnacentral:rRNA from 1 species
AUUGAACGCUGGCGGUAUGCUUAACACAUGCAAGUCGAACGGUAACAGGCCUUCGGACGCUGACGAGUGGCGGACGGGUGAGUAACGCGUAGGAAUCUGCCUCAUAGUGGGGGACAACGUGUGGAAACGCACGCUAAUACCGCAUACGCCCUGCGGGGGAAAGCGGGGGACCUUCGGGCCUCGCGCUAUGAGAUGAGCCUGCGUUAGAUUAGCUAGUUGGUAGGGUAAAGGCCUACCAAGGCGACGAUCUAUAGCUGGUCUGAGAGGACGAUCAGCCACACUGGGACUGAGACACGGCCCAGACUCCUACGGGAGGCAGCAGUGGGGAAUAUUGGACAAUGGGCGCAAGCCUGAUCCAGCAAUACCGCGUGUGUGAAGAAGGCCCUAGGGUUGUAAAGCACUUUCAAUAGGGAGGAAAACCUGUCGGUCAAUACCCGGCAGCUUGACAUUACCUAUACAAGAAGCACCGGCUAACUCCGUGCCAGCAGCCGCCGUAACAC